rnacentral:rRNA from 1 species
CCGUGGACUAUAUACCCGGGGACACAUGCGGGAAAGGGAGGCUAAUGCGGGAUGUGCCGAAAGGUGAAAGGUUUACUGCCUAAAGAUGAGCUCGCGUCUGAUUAGCUAGUAGGUGGGGUAAAAGCCUACCUAGGCGACGAUCAGUAGCUGGUCUGAGAGGAUGAUCAGCCACACUGGGACUGAGACACGGCCCAGACUCCUACGGGAGGCAGCAGUGGGGAAUUUUCCGCAAUGGGCGAAAGCCUGACGGAGCAAUACCGCGUGAGGGAGGAAGGCUCUUGGGUUGUAAACCUCUUUUCUCAGGGAAGAAAAAAAUGACGGUACCUGAGGAAUAAGCAUCGGCUAACUCCGUGCCAGCAGCCGCGGUAAUACGGAGGAUGCAAGCGUUAUCCGGAAUGAUUGGGCGUAAAGCGUCCGCAGGUGGCUGUGUAAGUCUGCUGUUAAAGAGCAAAGCUCAACUUUGUAAGAGCAGUGGAAACUACACGGCUAGAGUGCGUUCGGGGCAAAGGGAAUUCCUGGUGUAGCGGUGAAAUGCGUAAAGAUCACGAAGAACACCGGUGGCGAAGGCGCUCUGCUAGGCCCCCACUGACACUGAGGGACGAAAGCUAGGGGAACGAAUGGGGAUUAGAUCCCCCGGUUGUCCACAUCGNAAGGGGUAAUUACCGGGUGAAUAGGGGUU